AACAGAUGCGCCGUGCCCAUCGGAUCGAGUAACUUGUCCGAGCGUCUCGCUGCAGCGUGCUGUUUGGUGCAAUCACAAACGGGGAUGGAUGUGCCAGAAACUGACGCCACCACUUUUUUCCCGACAUCGUCAGGAAAAGCACUGGCCAUUCUACUUCCAUUGAAGCUCUGAUCGGCGACGGGAAUGCAGCGGAUAUGUGCAGAGCAGACCAGCAGCAUAGCCAAGCGAAUUCAGCAUUAGCAGCGCUGGUGGCAGCCACAAAGUGGGUUCGAGUACCGUCACCUCUGCGCUGUUCGAGGAUUUCCCUCGGUUUUCCGACAGACAUUCUAGACUUAUACCGGUACAAUUCCCCUGAAGUCGGACCAGGACGCAUGAUGACUUCCCUGUCUGUCCUCCCUUCAUCUCACUCAUAAAACAGAACUUCACCACAUAGCGCGCCCUUAGCCAACCGCCG